rnacentral:rRNA from 1 species
GAUGAACGCUGGCGGCGUGCCUAAUACAUGCAAGUCGAGCGAACGGACGAGAAGCUUGCUUUUCUGAUGUUAGCGGCGGACGGGUGAGUAACACGUGGAUAACCUACCUAUAAGACUGGGAUAACUUCGGGAAACCGGAGCUAAUACCGGAUAAUAUUUUGAACCGCAUGGUUCAAAAGUGAAAGACGGUUUUGCUGUCACUUAUAGAUGGAUCCGCGCUGCAUUAGCUAGUUGGUAAGGUAACGGCUUUCCAAGGCAACGAUGCAUAGCCGACCUGAGAGGGUGAUCGGCCACACUGGAACUGAGACACGGUCCAGACUCUACGGGAGGCAGCAGUAGGGAAUCUUCCGCAAUGGGCGAAAGCCUGACGGAGCAACGCCGCGUGAGUGAUGAAGGUCUUCGGAUCGUAAAACUCUGUUAUUAGGGAAGAACAUAUGUGUAAGUAACUGUGCACAUCUUGACGGUACCUAAUCAGAAAGCCACGGCUAACUACGUG